rnacentral:lncRNA from 1 species
UAUCAUUCGAGGAGAUGGUGAUGGAACACAUGAAGGUCCGGUUGGCUGUGUAUACGUAAUGUACACAGGAUUAACACUAAAUGGAGGUUUUGGCUGCCCGGAUAUGCCUCUUGAAGGGGAACUUGAAGGUGGCGUGGUGGCUGUGUACAGUGAGUGCUGAUUCCGUGGAGACGGCUGAUUACUGAUAGGUGAAGGACUCCUGUUCAUGGCUGUCCCAGGUCUCUGAGAGGGUUCAACUGUGAUUUCUAUCUUCUUCAUGGAUCCUUUGGGUAAGCUGGACGGUGUGUAUGGGAGAUAGGCGACCGAAUGGCUCCCCUGUUUCUGAUAGCUAGGAGGUCCUUGUUGAUACGGAUGGGGUGGAGUGGUGGAAGGACUAGGUGGCAUAAA